rnacentral:lncRNA from 1 species
AUUACAACUCUGCUUUCACAACCAAAACUUGAAUGAAAUACAUCAACUUCUACUGACUGUCUAUAAAGCCUCUAAUAGUACUGAUUGUAGAUAGCCGGGUCAUGAUUCCCGACUAAACCAACUCAAUACGACUGAAUAAAGAAAAUACAACACUUCUCAAACAGUAUAACAAACUCAAUCCCUUGAAUCAAAAGGAAUCAUCACCUGCUGAGUGGAUGCCGUGAACUAACUGGAUC